rnacentral:lncRNA from 7 species
UACAGAUUGGUGUUUGGGGCAAAGCUGCACCUGAAUACUCAGUGGCUAAAAUGCUCAGGAGUACCUGGGAUAAAAUAUAAAACUUGGUGUUAAAGGGAGAAGCAUCACUGAACAAGCCUGAAUCAGCACUACUGGCUUUCAUGGUAAUAAACACCACAAAAUUCCUAAUUUUACUCCUAUGUAGUUGAGAACAUUAAACUACAGAUACUGUAUUAAGGUUAUUACUGAUUUUUACCCACUAUAAAGACAAGUGCUGAGGUUGUAUGCUCCCUUUAGUAUGUUACUCUGAGCAGUACUCCUAACUGGGAGAAAUGAGGGAAACAACAAAAUAACCAGCCCAAAGGAACAUCAUCCCAAAGGACAUCGUCCCAGCUUCUGUACACUUCUGUGGGGAAGCAUUUAUCAUGUUUUGCUAGAACUACAAAGAAAAACAUUCUAGAGACAUUGGUGACUUUGUAGCACAGGAAGCUGUCCCAGAACUCACUUCCUGUGAUUUUUUUUUCCCUUCCAAAAGACAGAAUCAGGCUGUCGUUCCUCAAACUUUAGGUGACACUUGUCAUAUAUCAUAUCAUGAUCAUCAGUGAUAUUUUGGAAAGAUUUUUUUUGUGUGUGAUUUUCUUUAUUCACUCUCACAUGUGAUUGCUACAAGGAAACCAUAAAAGGUGAAUGAAAUCUCUAGAUGGCUCUCCCUCUCUCCCUGUGUUUAUACACACACCUAAACACUGACUGGGAAAGUAAAUUCUGCCAGAUAGAAGACUUGAGAUAAAUGCCCCUUUCAGACCCUGGAUCAAGUUCUGAAUUGAUAUCUCAAAUGCAAAUCCCAUGAACUGCGAUGGAAGCAAAGGACAGGAAGAGAAAAAAUGGAAUGGUAUUAGAUGGGAACCAAAGGGAAUCUGCAGUUUAAUUUCACAAACCUACCCCCAGUAAGAAAGGGUGGAACUAUCAUAGCAUGUACCCCAGGCUGCACCAAUUCCAGCUUGCACACUGUAUCACCAUCCACUCCUAGAGGAAGGUUUUGAGCUUUUUCAGCUCCAUCAGCACAGAGCAACAUCUGGAUGCAGGACUUAAGGAUUUUUCCAGUGAACAAAAUCUAUUAGCGAAGAGUCAAACAUUGGGAUUUAGUGGUCAAACGAUCAGCUCUUCCUCUCGGCAUAAUACUCUACAGUAUUUGUGAAGAUUGGAAGUUUUAAAAGGGCAGGAGAUUUAGAAAGCUGUCCAGAGUUAAAACUGUUUAUUUCUUCUUGGAUAAAAAUACUUCUACACAUCUGAGCAUGUCCCAGAUAUUACGCUCUGUAAGUACGAUGUCUCUAAGAUAAAGAAUCCUGUAUAAAUAGUCAGCUCAUCAAGUUAUUUCUUCUGUGAAUGGAUACAUCACAGACCUGAUACAUGCAAACCCAAAGUGCAUAAAAGAAAAACAUAACUUAAUGAGAGAGGGCCUUGGAAAAUUGUUAAAGAGAAAUUAAGGUGCUCUGUUUCCAUAUUCUGUGAUGCCCAAUCCUAAAUGCUAUACGCCUGCAUGCAGAUACAUCCCAUUCAGUUGCUACUUACACUAAACAGUCAUACAGCAACUCU